rnacentral:snRNA from 1 species
AUACCUUUCUCGGCCUUUUGGCUAAGAUCAAGUGUAGUAUCUGUUCUUAUCAGUUUAAUAUCUGAUAUGUGGGUCAUCGGCCCACUCGAUAUUAAUCUAAUUUUUUAUGGGGAAAGGCCCACCACAAUAGCUUGCUAUUGGGGUCUUUACGCGUCGCCUUGGUGUUGCACUACUGCCUUGGCCUGGCGCACCCCUC